GCAUUACUUGUCUGGGACUAAAGUGAAGAGCUUGUUUGAUGCUAGGCCUCAUGUUACUGCUUGGUGUGCUGAUGUAUUGGCUAGGCCAGCUUGGUCCAAGACACUUGAGUUGAACAAACAGUAAGUGGCGGACGGAUGAGUAACGCGUAAAAGAAUGUGUGUCCUUGGGUUCGUUUUCCAAGGGAGCUAGGGGAACAACAGCUGAAACGACUGCUAAUAUGAGAUAUGUAUUUGUGUUAGUACUGUUAUGUUAUCUUUGCUUUGUGUUGCACUCUUUUUUUCUAUAGCCAUCCUUAUGUCUGUUAUUUCGAGUGUUUGUUGUAUCGUAAACGUUUCUCUUUUAUCGAACUUUUUUCAUGUGAGUGAAUCCUAUCAACUGUACUCUUUUGAAGUUUGUGUUCAUUUUGUAUCAGUUUAGUCACCUUUUUUUGGCUAGGCCAACUUGGUCCAAGACACUUGAGUUGAACAAACAGUAAGUGGCGGACGGAUGAGUAACGCGUAAAGAAUGUGUGUGUCAUUGGAUUCCUUUCCAAGGGAGUCGAGGGGAACAACAACUGGAAACGACUGCUAAUAUAUGACCUAUGUAUUUGUGUUGUACUAUUAUGUUAUCUUUGCUUUGUGUUGCACUCUUUUUUUCUAUAGCCAUCCUUAUGUCUGUUAUUUCGAGUGUUUGUUGUAUCGUAAACAUUUCUCUUUUAUUGAACCUUUUUUCAUGUGAGUGAAUCCUAUCGACUGCAUUCUUUUGAAGUUGCACCCGCGCCAAAGCAGGCUCGUUUUGUGUUCAUUUUGUAUCGGUUUGGUUCAAGACACUUUGAGUUGAACAAACAGUAAGUGGCGGACGGAUGAGUAACGCUAAAAAGAAUGUGUCCUUGGAUUCGUUUCCAAGGGAUCGAGGGGAAUAACAACUGGAAACGACUGCUAAUAUAUGAUCUAUGUAUUUUGUGUUGUACUAUUAUAUGUUAUCUUUGCUUUGUGUUGUACUACCAUCUGUGAUUUCGAGUGUUUGUUGUAUUGUAAACUCUCUCUUUUGUUCAACUUUUUUCAUGUGAGUGAAUCUUAUUGACUGUACUCUUUUGAAGUUGCGCCCGCGCCAAAGCAGGUUCAUUUUACGUUCGUUUUGUAUCGGUUUAGUUAAAGUAAGGACUAGUCACACAAGUGGCGAGCGGAUGAGUAACGCGUAAAGAAUGUGUGUGUCCUUGGGUUCGUUUUCCAAGGGAGCUAGGGGAACAACAACUGGAAAC
rnacentral:lncRNA from 1 species